AUUGAACGCUGGCGGCAGGCCUAACACAUGCAAGUCGAGCGGAUGACGGGAGCUUGCUCCUUGAUUCAGCGGCGGACGGGUGAGUAAUGCCUAGGAAUCUGCCUGGUAGUGGGGGACAACGUUUCGAAAGGAACGCUAAUACCGCAUACGUCCUACGGGAGAAAGCAGGGGACCUUCGGGCCUUGCGCUAUCAGAUGAGCCUAGGUCGGAUUAGCGUGUUGGUGAGGUAAUGGCUCACCAAGGCGACGAUCCGUAACUGGUCUGAGAGGAUGAUCAGUCACACGGGAACUGAGACACGGUCCAGACGCCUACGGGAGGCAGCAGUGGGGAAUAUUGGACAAUGGGCGAAAGCCUGAUCCAGCCAUGCCGCGUGUGUGAAGAAGGUCUUCGGAUUGUAAAGCACUUUAAGUUGGGAGGAAGGGUUGUAGAUUAAUACUCUGCAAUUUUGACGUUACCGACAGAAUAAGCACCGGCUAACUCUGUGCCAGCCGCCGCGGUAAAAC
rnacentral:rRNA from 1 species